rnacentral:lncRNA from 1 species
GGGCACACUGCACUCCUAAAUAGGGCCUAUUGCCUGAAGACAGCCUCUUUUCCCUGUCUAGGGGCUGAUUCAACCUUCUGGCUAAUCCAGAGCCUGUUGGAACAGCACUUUAACUCCCCUUUUGAGUACUACUUUCUCUGCUGGUGUUCUUCCAAAGCAAAAGCAAAACCCAUUUUAUGAAGCAGCAAAAGAAGUAUAAAGCGUGCUAUUGUUCUUUUCUUUUUUCCCAGCUUACUGAGGUAAAAUUGACAAAUAAAAAUUGCAUAUAUUUAAGGUAUACAACCUGAUGUUUUCACAUAUGUAUACAUUGUAAAAUGAUCAUCACAAUCAAGCUAAUUAACAAAUCCAGCACUUGAUAUCAUUACCAUUUGUGUGUGUAUGUGUGUGCUGAGAACACUUACGAUCUACCCUCUUAUCAAAUUUGAAGCACACAAUACAAUAUCAUUAACUAUUGUCACCAUGUUAUACAUUGGAUUUCCAGAACUUAUUCAUCUCGCGUAACUGAAACUUUGUACCUGUCGACCAACAUCUCCUUAUUCCCCCAGCCCAUCCCCACAACUGCCCUUCUAAACCUGCUCUGAUGAGUUUUACCUUUUUACAUUCCAUAUAUAAGUGAGGUUAUACAGUUUUCUGUUUCGGUUUAUUUCACUUAACAUAACAUCCUCCAGGUUCAUCCAUGUUGUCACACAUAGGAGGAUUUCCUUCUUUUUUAAAGGUUGAAUAAUAUUCCAGUUUGCAUAUUUACACUACAUUUUCUUUAUCUAUUCAUCCAUUGACAGACAUUUAGGUCGUUUCCAUAUCUUGGCUAUUGUGAAUAAUGUCAUUUCUUAUCCAGCCACCCACUAUGGGCUUAUCUAUUAUUUCCCCUAAAGUGCCUGCAUGUAGUUCUGUUGAUAAAGAUACUGAAAGGAAGAAGUAUGCCAGAAUACAAUUUGCAAGCCUGUCCAGCUGAAGAUAGCCUCCUUCCCAGACAGUAGAGAGGCUGAGGUUCCCACAGGAGACACAGGGACAUAGGCAUAGGAGUCACAGGGACAUAGGCAGCACUUCUAGGAAGUUAAACCUGCUGGGCUGGGCAUGGCUCAUUAACCCAGGUUUUGUGCAGACCUCCCCAGCAACUGCUCUCUGCUGCAAUGGGACCAUUCUCCAGUAACCAUUGGUACCAUGGCCCCUUCCUCAACCCGUCCCUAAUAACAUCUCCCUGUGCUACCCUGACGUCCCUGGGUCAUCAACUCUCCAGUUUCCUAGUACAUACCAAAUACAAGAAAGAACAGAUGAGAGCAUGCCCCUAAAAAUAAAAAGAAAGAAACUAUUGCCAUCUUUUCCUCAAAAUCA